CUUGCCAAUCAUUGUUAGUUAAACUGAUGCCGUAUAUCCGUGUUACUUCUAUGUACAAGGAACUAUGGCGUUUCUCCAUUCCGUCAACUUUUGCUGAGGAAUAGGAAAUAUUUAUAUUAUCUUUUUCAGGACAUUUCAUACAUGGAAGCGUCGCUUCCCUGUGAUUGAAUUGACAUUGCGUUUAUCUUUACCUAAAGUUCAAGCAAUAAUAAUUGCAACUGCAGUUUUGCACAAUAUUUGUCGGAAUCACAGGUUAGAGAAAAUUCCAAUCGAAGUGGAGUUAUCAACUCCUGAUAUUAUUAAUUAUA